AUGUGAGAGAUGAUGGUCGGGAAAUUUUUGAUCGCAUGCAGUAUGGACUGUACAUCUUUCUCAGAUGAGCAAGCUCAUCCAAGUGCAGCUAAGGCGAAACAUGAGAGCAUAUCGCAAGCUGACGACUCGCAAAAGGACCCGGGAACAGCCAACUUUAUCCGAGAUAACGAGUGACGUUUUGCUGAAAGGAGAAAAGCAUUGUUCAGCGUCAUAGGCCCAUUGCCCCCGCUGUGCAUGACGUCAUAUGUCUUAUGACGUCAUAUGUAGUGUCGUGUACUUCCGGACUGUUGUAAAAAUGGCUGACCGACGUUUUCUUUGGAAGAUUUUUAUAAGGGCAGCUGUAUUGUGAAUCACCAAGCGACACGCUGCAUCACUGCGUUGUAUUGAUUGAGGAGCUACUUAGACUUGACUUAAUUCACUCCAGGAUCAAGCAUUGACCCACCCGUCUGCCCCAGCGAUUGAAACGCACUUGAUUGAAUCACAUUGCCGAUUGCUCGACGGUCUGCUGAAUGCUGAUUGACACAAGUGGCCAACCCUUCUGACCAAUCAGCUCCCGGGCUAUCAUCACCUUCGGGGAAAACAGGCAGAGGUGUGAGGGGAUGUUGAGAAUAUAAUGCCACCUACUACAGAGAAUGUUUCCUACCAGCAGCAGGGGUACAGUGGAAACAGAGGGCACCACUUCCAGGGUUCCGGUCAAGGAAAUGACCAACUUUUAAGAAAUGGAAGAACAGUGUUCCCGGAUAGUGACAGCCAGUCGGAACAUCUAACCAAAAUGACUGACACUCCACAGAGUAAUGGCUACAUCUCAGAUGAGAGUAGGUACCGCCAGGAGUUUUUCUUCAAGGAACCUACAAUCUACUCUCAUCGUAUGUUUGUUCGUGGGGCUAAGAUAUACUCAGUGUUGAAACAGGACCCUAAUGAAGGAAGUCCCUACCUUCGCAGGAAACAGUUGGCCAAUGCUCCCAUUCAACCACCUGUGGCAGAUGAGGAGUUUAAAGAUGAGAUUGAGAAGAGGAAAACUUAUGAGCUGGCCUUUGCUGCACUUAAAUAUCAGACCAUCCUGGAAGCAAUAGCGGAGGAAUCCAGCUUCUUUAACUACCAUCCUGAGGUUAAGCAUGACCAGAGUCUCGUCAUGGUCAUACUCUUUGACUUCCAGAGCCGGAAGUUUCAGCACCGUUCCCCCUUCCCGGACGAGGAGCUGGAUGAGGUGUGUCAGGAGGUAGAACGUGCAAUACUUGACUUCAAGAUCAAGCUGAAUGCCUGUCUGGCUCGACAUCGCAUCAAGGCCAGGGCACCCUCUAUAGAGUUCCUGCUGCCAGAACAGGUUCGCCAACAGGAGGAAAAUAACAAGUUCCAGAUGCCAGUGUACAUGUGGGUCAACCAUCACAAGACGAAUUUGUCGGAUGUGAUCAACAAAUUGAAAGAAGAGGGUCAUGAGCAAGUGUCGUGUUCAGUGCUAGAUUUGAAGGACAAGAAGUUUGUGGUGGACCAUCAUUGCCCAGAUAUGCUUGUGUUCGCUCCGGAUGCUGCUGAAUCCCUCCAUAGCCAUCCGCUGGUGACGUCAGGUCACAUCGUCAUGCAGGACAAGUCCAGCUGCCUGGCACCCCACUCCGUCAAGCACCUGCUGAAUGAGGAAGAUGAUGUCAUCCAUGUCAACAUAGGGUCUGGCUUGACCACUGCCCAUUUGUCCAGUCUCCUGAAGGGGUCAGGGUCCCACAUCUAUGCUUUUGACGCCACCUGUGAUGCCGAGUCGUACAGAGUGCAUCACAACUUUGACCAUCUUGGAGUGAGAAAUGUUCGCAUGAUGGCGGACUCCUUCCUGGAUGUGGACACAGACGACAGCCGCUUCAAGAAUGUGCGUGUUGUCCUGGUAACAGCGGAGUGCAGCAAGUCCGGCAUCACCAACCCUGUGGAGUUUGUCAUCAGCGAGGGAGAAGACAUGAAGAUACUGCGAGACCUGUCGCUAGGGGAGUCCGACUCAUCCCGACUUGGGGAGUUUACAUCACGACACAACUUAUGGCUCCGGCAGGCCAUGAAAAUGCCGAAAGUGCAGGCUGUUGUUUACGUGACCCGGUCUGUGUUUGAGGCGGAGAAUGAUAACGUGGUACUGAAAGCCGUGGAGUACAUGAACAUGGUACAAAACAAGAAGGCUGUACCAUUCCGCCUUGUACCACCAGUCUUGCCAUUUAAUGGGGAGGAGAUUGAAAAUAAUGAGGGAAUAGUGGGGAAAUUCAUGAAAUUCAAACCGUCCCCCAAAAUGAAUGGCUGUUUUGUUGCUGUCAUUACAAGAGAGCCGGAAGAAGUUAAAGAAACUGCACGGGAUAUAAUUGCACGUGCUGCAGCCAAAGGACUUAUGGGUAAACCUGCCCUUAAAGGGGAAGGGGCAGAAAAUGGCCGGAGACGGCGAAAAUCACCAAAGAGAAUUCGGGGGCACGACUUCAGCACCCAAUAGUGUCCCAGCUUAUCCAAAGCACAACAUUUCUGUCAGCAGUCCUGUGUCAAACUAUAUAAAUUCUGCAUCACGUUCACCGACACGCACCAACAAAAUGUUGAUCGGAGCAAGGUUGCAUGCCAGUCAGCCACGGUUAGUGUCACCAACAUCGCCACAGAAGCCACUUAAAUCACUUGUUCCUGAAUAUGCACGUGUGGUGAAACACCCUGCACCUUUUAGGUGAAGGUCAUCUGGUUGAGGUGAAGGUCAUGGCCUUGAAGGCAAAGGUCACAUGAUUGUUGGAGGUCAUGUGAUUUUACAUUUUUAUUCUAUUUUUACAGUAAAGUUAUUGAAGUCUAUUUAAAUCAUUUUUUUGUACCAUUGUUUCUCAGAUGCUUUUAUAUUCCGUCCAUUCACAUAACAACCAACAAGUCAUGUGACUCUUUGCCAAGAACUGCAAUAUGUAUUUUUGUACAGUUUGAUUUUCCACAAAGCAAGAUUAUUGCUGAAAUUUUAUACAAUAUAUGUUUACCUCAAAGACAUAUUUGAAGAAAUUGUAUCCUUUUUGAAACAAUUCAUGCCAAAUAAAUGUUUAAGCAAUAUUUGUGAUAACAGUAAAAAAUUUAUCAAACUAAAACUCAACAUUAGAUUCUAACCUGUGGUUUCAGUAAAUCUUGCUUGCAUGCUAUCACCACUUUUAAAUCGUGCAUGAAAACUUAAUUACAACUUUAUCAUAUUUCCAGAUUAUGUGGAAAGUGUAACAGUUAACAUGUUUAUUGAUAAAUACAAAUGUGUAUCUAUGUGUCGUUUGCUAGGACAGUCUACCUUUCCCUACAGUAAGUGAUAUGUAUGUGUCAUGUAAUGCAAUAUUCAACAAGGCCACGCAUUUCUUGUCUUUUCUCCUGCGCAAGACGUUGAUGUUGUCAUGUAUUUGUGCGUUGUUUAUUUGUUUCAAAAGCUUCUGUCAAGAUUUGCUCUUAGGUCGUGGUUCCGUAAAUUAAAGCUCCCAAUCUCUUCAUGACAAAUCAUUUGUCAGAGAAGAUCAUGUUUGCAUUAUUAUUCAAUGUAUUCAACGAAUCAUCUACAUCUUUCAACACACUUGUACCAGAUCAGAAUAUGAGUUUUAGAUUUCACUUUAAUGAUUUUUUAAAAGAUAUAUGGGAUUUUCAAUAUACAGCAUUUGAUGAAACAGAAAUUUAAGAUGUUUUCCACAUCUAGGAGUGUCAUUUAAGCCAGCAAACAGAAUCUGACAGAAGUCUUUUGUUACAAGAUGUUUCAAUUCAUUCUCAUCAGAUAAUACACAUGCUUAUUAGGAAUUAUUAUUGAAAUUACGUGGAUAUCUCAAUUUUUCAGGCAAAGUGACUAUGAUAAGAAAGGCGACAGAAAAGGGAGGAAGUAAACCCAGGGGCCGCAGAAGAAUGAGCUUCUGACUCAUACAGUGCUGGUGGACCACAUAAUAGAAGAUGAGUUACCUCCCUUGUGCUGGCUGACAACAAGGAGAUUCCUGACAAUCAACCUGACGAAGUGAAGACUGAGGAGUUUGAUUUCACCUCUGGACAAGACCUUUCUCAAUCACUGUACACAGGGUGUCUGUUCUCAGUUGUAUUGAAAUUCUGUCACGUUAGUGACUAGUGAUGUGAUGUGUCUUCGUAAUAGAAGAAAUGGUUGGAUCCUUGAGUUGAAAACUAUCAUUUUCAUGUUUAUAACAGUGUUCAGAGUUGCAAUCACACCUGUGAAUAAAAUUCACUACACAUA